ACGCACGCUGGCGGCGUGCUUCACACAUGCACGUCGAACGGAAAGGCCCCUUUGGGGGUACUCGAGUGGCGAACGGGUGAGUAACACGUGAGUAACCUGCCCUUGACUUCGGGAUAACUUCAGGAAACUGGGGCUAAUACCGGAUAGGAAUCCUUGCUGCAUGGUGGGGGUUGGAAAGCUUCGGCGGUUUUGGAUGGACUCGCGGCUUAUCAGCUUGUUGGUGGGGUAGUGGCUUACCAAGGCUUUGACGGGUAGCCGGCCUGAGAGGGCGACCGGCCACAUUGGGACUGAGAUACGGCCCAGACUCCUACGGGAGGCAGCAGUGGGGAAUAUUGCACAAUGGGCGGAAGCCUGAUGCAGCAACGCCGCGUGCGGGAUGACGGCCUUCGGGUUGUAAACCGCUUUCAGCAGGGGCGAAGCUUGUGGUGACGGUACCUGCAGAAGAAGCACCGGCUAACUACGUG
rnacentral:rRNA from 1 species